UACGGAGGGUGCAAGCGUUGUCCGGAAUCAUUGGGCGUAAAGAGUUCGUAGGUGGUAUGUUAAGUCUGGUGUUAAAGCCCGAAGCUCAACUUCGGUUCGGCACUGGAUACUGGCAAACUUGAAUGUGGUAGAGGUAAAGGGAAUUCCUGGUGUAGCGGUGAAAUGCGUAGAUAUCAGGAGGAACAUCGGUGGCGUAAGCGCUUUACUGGGCCAUAAUUGACACUGAGGAACGAAAGCCGGGGUAGCAAAUGGG
rnacentral:rRNA from 1 species